rnacentral:rRNA from 1 species
UAGGGAAUAUUGGUCAAUGGACGCAAGUCUGAACCAGCCAUGCCGCGUGAAGGAUGAAGGUCCUCUGGAUUGUAAACUUCUUUUAUCUGGGACGAAAACGGGAUUUUUAUCUCAAUUGACGGUACCAGAGGAAUAAGCACCGGCUAACUCCGUGCCAGCAGCCGCGGUAAUACGGGGGGUGCGAGCGUUAUCCGGAUUUACUGGGUUUAAAGGGUGCGUAGGUGGGCUUAUAAGUCAGUGGUGAAAUCUCCGAGCUUAACUUGGAAACUGCCGUUGAUACUAUAGGUCUUGAAUUAUCUGGAGGUCAGCGGAAUAUGUCAUGUAGCGGUGAAAUGCUUAGAUAUGACAUAGAACACCAAUUGCGAAGGCAGCUUACUACAUAUAAAUUGACGCUGAGGCACGAAAGCGUGGGGAUCAAACA